rnacentral:rRNA from 1 species
GAUGAACGCUGGCGGCGUGCCUAAUACAUGCAAGUCGAGCGAACGGACGAGAAGCUUGCUUCUCUGAUGUUAGCGGCGGACGGGUGAGUAACACGUGGAUAACCUACCUGUAAGACUGGGAUAACUUCGGGAAACCGGAGCUAAUACCGGAUAAUAUUUUGAACCGCAUGGUUCAAAAGUGAAAGACGGUCUUGCUGUCACUUAUAGAUGGAUCCGCGCUGCAUUAGCUAGUUGGUAAGGUAACGGCUUACCAAGGCAACGAUGCAUAGCCGACCUGAGAGGGUGAUCGGCCACACUGGAACUGAGACACGGUCCAGACUCCUACGGGAGGCAGCAGUAGGGAAUCUUCCGCAAUGGGCGAAAGCCUGACGGAGCAACGCCGCGUGAGUGAUGAAGGUCUUCGGAUCGUAAAACUCUGUUAUUAGGGAAGAACAUAUGUGUAAGUAACUGUGCACAUCUUGACGGUACCUAAUCAGAAAGCCACGGCUAACUACGUG